rnacentral:lncRNA from 1 species
GCCUCCUCCCCUGGGGUUUCCAUGGCAAAGAGACGGCUGUGACUCAUCUCCUCAGCCCUACCUCCUUUUCUCUGCUGAAUCCAGCUCCAAUGCAGGUAAUACCAUCAUCGCCCUUGUGAUUUAUGACGGAGGAGACCUCGCUGUCAAAGGAUAAUGAUGUCAUUAAGAAGCUUUUAAAACUUUCACAUUAGCCAAGGGAUGGGAUCAGAAGAAACACUUUGGCAGGAUUUCAAAACCGAAGGGGAGUUGAGAGAAGCAAGAAGAGCACAGUGUGAUGAUUAUGAAGUAUUUGUGGAACGGAGUUAUCAACACGUUGUCAGAAACUAGAGGUGCAUGACCGGAAAGGCUGAUAAGCCCACUUGUGCCUUUUUCCACUGGUGAAUUAUUUUUCUUGUUUCGAUCUUGGAAAAAGAACAAAAUCAAGUGAAUAGCUUUCCAGGAGCAUGCCCUGAACUUUAUAGCUGGGUCAUCCCUCUUGAGACCUGUCUAACAGGAAAACAGCGGAUCAGCCUAGAACUCCACGUUCUUGGAAGAAAUGCACCAUAUCAGCUGCCUGAAUGAUGGCCCAGCUGCCUAGUCUUUCAGAAUUCAUAAGCAGCAUCUUGUCUAAAACACAAGCUGGAUUUCUAUUGAUGGAAACUUCUUUCUAUGCCCCUCAAAGCUGUACCAAAUGUUAAGGUAGAAAUCACGUUGUGAAU